AAACUAAAGUCCCAGUUCGGAUUGCAGGCUGCAACCCGCCUGCAUGAAGCCGGAAUCGCUAGUAAUCGCGGAUCAGAAUGCCGCGGUGAAUACGUUCCCGGGUCUUGUACACACCGCCCGUCACACCAUGGGAGUCGAUAACGCCCGAAGUCAGUGACCCAACCGAAAGGAGGGAGCUGCCGAAGGCGGGAUGGAUAACUGGGGUGAAGUCGUAACAAGGUAGC
rnacentral:rRNA from 1 species